UACGUAGGGGGCAAGCGUUGUCCGGAAUCAUUGGGCGUAAAGAGCGCGUAGGCGGUCCGGUAAGUCCGCUGUGAAAGUCAAGGGCUCAACCCUUGAAUGCCGGUGGAUACUGUCGGGCUAGAGUCCGGAAGAGGCGAGUGGAAUUCCUGGUGUAGCGGUGAAAUGCGCAGAUAUCAGGAGGAACACCGAUGGCGAAGGCAGUUCUCUGGGCCGUAACUGACGCUGAGGAGCGAAAGCGUGGGGAGCGAACAGG
rnacentral:rRNA from 1 species